GACGAACGCUGGCGGCGUGCUUAACACAUGCAAGUCGAACGGAAAGGCCCUGCUUUUGUGGGGUGCUCGAGUGGCGAACGGGUGAGUAACACGUGAGUAACCUGCCCUUGACUUUGGGAUAACUUCAGGAAACUGGGGCUAAUACCGGAUAGGAGCUCCUGCUGCAUGGUGGGGGUUGGAAAGUUUCGGCGGUUGGGGUUGGACUCGCGGCUUAUCAGCUUGUUGGUGGGGUAGUGGCUUACCAAGGCUUUGACGGGUAGCCGGCCUGAGAGGGUGACCGGCCACAUUGGGACUGAGAUGCGGCCCAGACUCCUACGGGAGGCAGCAGUGGGGAAUAUUGCACAAUGGGCGGGAGCCUGAUGCAGCAACGCCGCGUGCGGGAUGACGGCCUUCGGGUUGUAAACCGCUUUCGCCUGUGACGAAGCGUGAGUGACGGUAAUGGGUAAAGAAGCACCGGCUAACUACGUG
rnacentral:rRNA from 1 species